rnacentral:misc_RNA from 1 species
GAUGAAGAACGUAGCGAAAUGCGAUAAGUAAUGUGAAUUGCAGAAUCCAGUGAAUCAUCGAAUCUUUGAACGCACAUUGCGCCCGCCAGCAUUCUGGCGGGCAUGCCUGUUCGAGCGUCAUUUCAACCCUCGACCUCCCCUUGGGGAGGUCGGCGUUGGGGACCGGCAGCACACCGCCGGCCCUGAAAUGGAGUGGCGGCCGUCUGCGGCGACCUCUGCGUAGUAAUACAGCUCGCACCGGAACCCCGACGCGGCCACGCCGUAAAACACCCAACUUCUGAACGUUGACCUCGAAUCAGGUAGGACUACCCGCUGAACUUAAGCAUAUCAAUAAGCGGAGGA